GUUUUGGAGUGCAGGCGUGAAUAGUCCUUUCUGUCCUGCUUUGAGUACUGCUGUUGGGUGCCUUGGGGGGACCUUAAGGGAGCUCGGAAGUUGAGACGUGGUGAGUGCGAGAUCACUGCCCACAAAGGGGAGGAGCAGGCGGAUGAACAGCCAGAGCUGCAAUGGUGGAUCCUCCUCCAGGGCUGCAUGGGACGACAGAUAGAUGAGGCUCUAGGACGGGCACAAAUGCUACCCGAAUGCAAACCACUCCGGAGAUCUGUAAAAGGACUGGCCCCGGACAGGAAGCACACUUUAAACUAGAGGCGGGGUAAGACUCGUGGGCCAAUCAAGGCUUCCGAACAGAACUGCCAUUCUGGCAAUGAGGCGGGGUCUUCCGGUUGCCUGCUGGAAGUUUGUUUUUGCUCUGCAGGAUUGAAGGGUUCUCCCUAUGCUGCUUUGAGCGCUGCUAUUGGGUGCCUUGAGGGGACCUCAAGUAAGCUCCAUUUUUGAAACAUGAUCUUCAUCCACAUCUUGAAGUUUGAAGUUUGGCCAAGAAUAUACAAAAUAGAUUCUCUUUCUCAGGAUGGCAAGUGUUCAUGACAUCAAUACUACCCAAGGCUUCAGAGUCAUUGGAUUGCAGGAUGCAGUGACUUAUGAUGAUGUGCGUGUGAACUUCACUGAGGAAGAGUGGGAUUUGCUGGAUCCUUCCCAGAAAAGUCUCUAUGAAGAGGUGAUGCUAGAGACAUACCAGAACAUCACUGCUAUAGGUAAGACUGAAUUUCCUCUUGCUUUUCUGAAUAAGGGACAAAUAUUUCUUUGUUAUUGAUCCUCUGUUGUUUCAAUUGAAGAGGAGGAAGAAUGAGCUUACAGGCAUGAAAGAAUUCAUAUUGGAGAGAAACCGUAUGAACGUAACCAAUGGGGUAAAGCCUUUGCAAGUGACAAUCAUCUCCAAAUACGUAAAAGAACAAAUACUGGAGAGAAACCUUAUGAAUGUAAUCAAUGUGGUAAAGCCUUUUCACAACAGAGUAGUCUCCAGUAUCAUAAAAGAACAUAUGCUGGACAGAAACCUUAUGAAUGUAAUCAGUGUGGUAAAGCCUUGUCAUGUCAAAGAAAUCUCCAAUAUCAUAAAAGAACACAUACUGGAGAGAAACCCUAUGAAUGUAAUCAGUGUGGUAAAGCCUUCACACAUUACAAUAAUCUCCGAUAUCAUAAAAGAACACAUACUGGAGAAAAACCUUAUGAAUGUAAUCAGUGUGGUAAAGCCUUUGCACGUUACAAUAAUCUCCAGUGUCAUAAAAGAACACAUACUGGAGAGAAACCUCAUGUGUGUGAUCAAUGUGGUAAAACCUUUGCAUGGCAGUAUACUCUCCAAAAACAUAAAAGAAUACAUACUGGAGAGAAACCUUAUCAAUGUAGUCAAUGUGAUAAAGCAUUUUCAGAACACAGUAGUCUUCAAUAUCAUAAAAGAACACAUACUGGAGAGAAACCUUAUGAGUGUGAUCAAUGUGGUAAAGCCUUUGCUUGGCAGUGUAGUCUCCAUAUCCAUAAAAGAACACAUUCUGGAGAGAAACCUUAUGAGUGUAAUGAAUGUGGUAAAGCCUUUGCACAUCACACUAGUCUCCAAAGUCAUAAAAGAAUACAUACUGGAGAGAAACCUUAUCAGUGUGAUCAGUGUGGUAAAGCAUUUGCACAUCAAAAUAAUCUCCAAUAUCAUAAAAGAACACAUACUGGAGAGAAACCAUAUGAAUGCAAUCAAUGUGGUAAAGCCUUUGCAAGUCACAGUCAUCUCCAAAUACAUGAAAGAACACAUUUUAGAAAAAACCCUUAGAAUGCAAUCAAUGUUGUAAAGACUUUGGAUGUAAGACUAAUCUCCAAAGACAUAAAGGAAUAUAUAUGGGACAGAAACCUUAUGAAUGUAAUCAAUGUGGUAAAGCAUUUGCAACUCACAGUCAUCUACAAUGACAUAAAAGAACACAGAGGAGAGAAACCUGGUUAUUGUUUACAUAUUGACAUAAGGAGAUGCAAGUAUGUAUCAACUUGACAAGGGAUGGAUUGUGAUUGCUACUCUUGGUUUUCAAUAUAAGAUCUAAAGUGGAAAGCAUAGGUCCAGGCAUGGUGGUACAUGCCCUUGAACCCUAGGAGAUGAGCAUCAAGCAGAUCUCUGAGUUCAAGUCCAUCCUGAUACAGAACAAGUUUCAGGUGAAGAAAAGCUAAGGUCUAGGCCGGUGGAUACAGAGCCUUGCAGAUCUCUGAGUUCAAGGUCAGUAUAUAGAGCAAGUUCCAGGACAGCCAAGCUGAGGCAGUAAAGGAGUUGGAGAACAGAAAACUGGUGAUAAUGUAAUAGAAGAGGCCAUGUCCCAGGCCCAGAAAGCAGCAGAGCUCAGCAACUUUGUCCAUGUGGCUCUGACUUUAGAGGUAAGAAUAGAAGGGACUACUGGGAAAAUUGAAGCUUGUUAGCUGUGGAUGAGAAAUUAGAAGUGAUGAAGAAGAGACCAGCAUCAUUGAGGUGAAAUUUUCUAGGAAGUGUUUUCUGAGAGGACAAAGAAACUGUGUUCCAGAGAUAGCCAGGAUUGUACCUUGUGUUGCAGCUGAACUUGGUCACAUGUAAGAAUCAUCCAGGUGGUACUGGUUUUGAAGGCAUGACGGUGUCAUGAGGAGCAGCUGAGGCUUGGACCAAUGAAGGGAGCAUAAGUGAGACUAUCAGUGAAGCCUAGUUGCAGGAGAAGAACCCAACAUAUUGAAGAUGCCAGUCCAAUGGGAUGAGCAGAAAGAACAGCCCAGUAGAGUGGAGUCAACCAGAGCUUAGAGUGAUACAGAGGUCAGAGCUAGAGAAGUGACCUUAUCUCUUUGGAGGACUGCAGAAGAUCAUGUGUGGAUCCAAGACAUUGGAGCAAGAAGCUGUAACACUGAGGUUACCUUCCAGACCCCAAGAUCUUUGAGAUGUCAGAGCUGUGGGGUACCUGCUCAGGAAAACCAGCCAAAGAGAAAGAAUUGUGCUGCAGUUAACAAAGCAUAAAAGGAGUUGGAGAUCUAAAGAAUGCUUUAACAUGACACAUGGAGAUGCAGUUUCAAGAUUUCCAAGUUGACUUUUGGUUUUGUUUUCGUCCAGUAAUUCCUCAUGAUGACAUUUUGGAAUGGUGAAGUCUAUGUUGUGAAGUUGGAAUUAUAUGAUCUGCAUUUAGAUUUUUCUUUUUUAGGGGAUUACAGUUACAUUGAAUGAAUCUCAGAAGAGACUUUGACCUUUGGACUUUUAACGUAUUUGAGACUGGUAUAGAUGAUGGGGACUUUUGAGGUUGGACCUCGUGUAUUUUUCAUUAUGCAUGUUUAAAUAUGUUCCUUAUACAUUCCUGUACUCCAACAUGCUUAAGGGGGCCAGUGAGUGGAAUGUGGGAGUUUGAAUAUGCUUGUGACAGGGAGUGACUCUAUUCAGAGGUGUGACCUUGUAGGAGAAAGUGGAUAUCUCUGGGGGUGGACUUUGAAGCUCCACCAAGUGCAAAACAGACCCUCCUAUUCCCUCUCUGGAAGACAGUUUCUUCCUGGCUGCCUUUGGAUCAAAAUGCAGAACUCUCAGCUCCUUCUCCAGCAUCAUGUCUGCCUGCAUGCUGCUGUGCUUCCUCUGAAACUGUAAGCCAGCCCCAAUUAAAGGUUUGCUUUUAUGAGAGUUGCCAUGGUCAUGAUGUCUAUUCCUAGCAAUGGAAACACUAAGACAGAAACCUUGGGAGUGUAUUUAAUAUAGUGAAACCUUUUCACAAUUCUGUAGGCUUCAUCAUCAUGAAAGAAUAUAUACUGGAGCCAGACAGUGGUGGUGCAUGCCUUUAAUCCCAUCACUUGGGAGGAAGAUGCAGGCAGACUUCUGAGUUCUCGGCCAGCCUGGUCUACAAAGUGAUUUCCAGGACAGCCUGGGCUAUAGAGAGAAACCCUGUCUUGAAAAACCAAAACAAACAAAAGAGUAUGUCCUGGAGAGAAACCUUUUGAAUGUACUUCCUAUGGUUAGGCUUCUUCCUACGGUUAAGAAGGAAUCACUUUGACAGAUACAGUUCUCAUUCUCUGUCUUUAGAACCUGAGCAUCACCCAGGAGUUCAUGACAAGCUCCUUCUUGGACCCUGUCUACAUGUGUUAAAUCAGAAGUUUUGCUCUCAGUAUAUGACUCCUAGAAAAAUAAUUAAAGGUGGCCCCUGAACUCUAUAUUUCUGACUCUCCAGUUACUACUAAUCUAUCUUUCAAGCAGAGGCCCCAUAUCCUUGAGCUCUCUGGGAGCAGAGGUGAUCAGAAAGGUAGUCAAGGGCUCUGAAGCCCCUCAGGCACACGCGAGGUUUCAGGCAACACCAGCCCCACUCUGAAGCACACACACAAAAUCCUGUUGAGGAUUAAUCUAAUGCCUGCUCUCUGACACAGCGUUUGCAACACAGCAGGUAGAACUUGCCAUAUCCACCCAACAAACCCCAUACACAUCUAGGAAACUUCUACAGCUCAGAAACUCCUGUUGUACCUGAAAUUGGAUUUCCCAGAAUCAUGCCAGGUUCAAUGGUGGCAGUGGAAAAGUGAAAAUAUUCUGAUCAAGUAUUGCUAAACAAUGAUCCCCAUCACUGCCUUUAUACGACUUUCAAAUACUUCAUAACAUAUGUCACACAACAGUGAAUGUGUUUGAGCCUAUCCCUAACCCCUAACCCUAACCACUAAUUCCUUACCCUGUUAUCUCUUGACUCUCCUCUAUGUAUACUGAAUAGAGUAUAGAAUUAGGCUUAGAUUGAUGCCAGUUUGUCAUUAAUGUUUGCCUGAAGACAGACUUUUUUCCCAUAUGUAUUUCCUUCAAGUCUCAUACUCUAAGUGCCUUAAAUGCCUCACUUAUUCCUUCACAACUUGCAAGCAUUUUUGUAGGGUUUUAUUUUUCAUAUUGGAACGUUCCUUCAUAAUCUACAUAUAACGCCUACUUUGUUAAAACUGUUUCAAUGUUUCAUCACUCUAACAUUUUAUAUUUGCUAAUACCAUAAGAUACAAUAGGUUUAACAAAUCCACCAUCUCCUGUGAGAACAUUUAUUCAAGGGUGGGGAAUAAGCAAUGUUUAUCUCCUCUUUCUAAGUUCUCAGUGGCACCACAUCUCAAAAUUACCAUAGUUCAACCAAAGAUGCCAGUGAAAUUACUGAGUUUCCCUUAUAAAAUAUUGACAAGGUGUUUCUUAUGAGACCUGGAUAUCCUAGAAUCAGUCACAAUAAAAAUGCUUUACUCAUUAUGUAUGGAGACAAUUUCACAUUACAUAAAUAGUUAUACCUCUUCCCCCGAUAAAACUACUGGCCAGCCAUGUCCUCUUUUUACAGGCAUGAAAGAAUUCAUAUUGGAGAGAAACCGUAUGAACGUAACCAAUGUGGUAAAGCCUUUGCAAGUGACAAUCAUCUCCAAAUACAUAAAAGAACAAAUACUGGAGAGAAACCUUAUGAAUGUAAUCAAUGUGGUAAAGCCUUUUCACAAGGGAGUACUCUCCAAUAUCAUAUUAGAAGACAUAAUGGAGAGAAACCCUAUAAAUGUAAUCAGUGUGGUAAAGCCUAUGGACAUCACAGUAGUCUGCAAUAUCAUAAAAGAACACAUACUGGAGAGAAACCUUAUCAAUGUAAUCAAUGUGAUAAAGCAUUUUCACAACACAGUAGUCUUGAAUAUCAUAAAAUAACACAUACUGGAGAGAAACCUUAUGAGUGUGAUCAAUGUGGUAAAGCCUUUGCAUGGCAGUCUAGUCUCAAUAUACAUAAAAGAACACAUUCUGGAGAAAAACCUCAUGAGUGUAAUCAAUGUGGUAAAGCCUUUGUACAUCACAAUAGUCUCCAAUGUCAUAAAAGAACGCAUACUGGAGAGAAACCUUAUCAGUGUGAUCAGUGUGGUAAAGCAUUUACACAUCAAAAUAAUCUACAGUGUCAUAAAAGAACACAUACUGGAGAGAAACCUUAUGAAUGCAAUCAAUGUGGUAAAGCAUUUGCAAGACACAGUCAUCUCCAAGUACAUGAAAGAACACAUUUUAGAAAAACACCUUAGAAUGCAAUCACUGUUGUAAAGACUUUGGAUGUAAGACUAAUCUCCAAAGACAUAAAAGAACAUAUACUGGACAGAAACCUUAUGAAUGUAAUCAAUGUGGUAAAGCCUUUGCAACUCACAGUCAUCUACAAUGACAUAAAAGAACACAGAGGAGAGAAACCUGGUUAUUGUUUACAUAUGGACAUAAGGAGAUACAAGUAUGUAUCAAAUUGACAAGGGAUGGAUUGUGAUUGCUGCUCUUGGUUUUCAAUAUAAGAUCUAAAGUGGAAAGCAUAGGUCCAGGCAUGGUGGUACAUGCCCUUGAACCCUAGGAGAUGAGCAUCAAGCAGAUCUCUGAGUUCAAGUCCAUCCUGAUACAGAGCAAGUUAAAGGUGAAGAAAUUCUUAGGUCUAGGCCUGUGGAUACAGAGCCUUGCAGAUUUCUGAGUUCAAGGUCAAUAUAUAGAGCAAGUUCAAGGACAGCCAAGCUGAGGAAGUAAAGGAGUUGGAGAACAGAAAACUGGUGAUAAUGUAAUAGAAGAGGCCAUUUCCCAGGCCCAGAAAGCAGCAGAACUCAGCAGCUUUGACCAUGUGGCUCUGACUUUAGAGGUAAGAAUAGAAGGGACUACUGGGAAAAUUGAAGCUUGUAAGCUGUGGCUGAGAAAUUAGAAGUGAUGAAGAAGAGACCAGCAUCAUUGAGGUGAAAUCUUCUAGGAACUGUUUUCUGAGAGGACAAAGAAACUGUGUUCCAGAGAGAGCCAGGAUUGUACCUUGUGUUGCAGCUGAACUUUGUAGUCUCCCCUCCCCCAGCCUGAAACCUGCUUGCUCAGGGGUGGAGCUUCCUGCUCAUUCGUUCUGCCACGCCCACUGCUGGAACCUGCAGAGCAACAUGUGUGCUCACCUUUCUACUGGACCAGAGAUUAUUCGGCGGGAAUCGGGUCUCCUCCCCCUUCCUUCAUAACUAGUGUUGCAACAAUAAAAUUUGAGCUUUGAUCAGAAUAACUGUCUUGGCUACAUUUCUUUCUCUCUCGCCACCUAGCCCCUCUUCUCUUCUAGGUUUCCAAAAUGCCUUUCCAGGCUAGAACCCAGGUUGUGGUCUGCUGGCCGGACACAACAGAACUUGGUCACAUGUAAGAAUCAUCCAGGUGGUACUGGUUUUGAAGGCAUGACAGUGUCAUGAGGAGCAACUGAGGCUUGGUCCAGUGAAGGGAGCAUAAGUGAGACUAUCAGUGAAGCCUAGUUGCAGGAGAAGAACCCAACAUAUUGAAGAUGCCAGUCCAAUGGGAUGAGCAGAAAGAACAGCCCAGUAGAGCGGAGUCAACCAGAGCUUAGAGUGAUACAGAGGUCAGAGCUAGAGAAGUGACCUUAUCUCUCUGGAGGACUGCAGAAGAUCAUGUGUGGAUCCAAGACAUUGGAACAAGAAACUGAGGUUUCCUUCGAGACCCCAAGAUCUUUGAGAUGUCAGAGCUGUGGGGUACCUGCUCAGGAAAACCAGCCAAAGAGAAAGAAUUGUGCUGCAGUGAAUACAGCAGAAAGGAGUUGGAGAUCUGAAGAAUGCUUUAACAUCACUCAUGGAGAUGCAGUUUGGAGAUUUCCAAGCUGGCUUUUGGUUUUGUUUUGGUCCACUAUUUCCUCAUGAUGACAUUUAGGAAUGGUAAAGUCUAUGUUUUGAAGUGGUAGUAUAUGAUCUGCUUUUAGAUUUUCUUUUUUAGGGGAUUACAGUUACAUUGAAUGAAUCUCAGAAGAGACUUUGACCUUUGGACUUUUAACAUUUUUGAGACUGGUAUAGAUGAUGGGGACUUUUGCAGUAGGACCUCGUGUAUUUUUCAUUAUGCAUGUUUAAGUAUGGUCCUCAUACAUUCCUGUACUCCAACAUGCUUAUGGGGGCCAGUGAGUGGAAUGUGGGAGUUUGAAUAUGCUUGUGACAGGGAGUGACUCUAUUCAGAGGUGUGACCUUGUUGGAGGAAGUGGAUAUCUCUGGGGGUGGACUCUGAAGCUCCACCAAGUGCAAAACAGACCCUCCUAUUCCCUCCCUGGAAGACAGUUUCUUCCUGGCUGCCUUUGGAUCAAAAUGCAGAACUCUCAGCUCCUUCUCCAGCAUCAUGUCUGCCUGCAUGCUGCUGCUGUGCUUCCUGCUAUGAUGAAAAUGGACUAAACCUCUGAAACUGUAAGCCAGCCCCAAUUAAAGGUUUGCUUUUAUGAGAGUUGCCUUGGUCAUGAUGUCUAUUCCUAGCAAUGGAAACACUAAGACAGAAACCUUGGGAAUGUAUUUAAUAUGGUGAAGCCUUUGCACAAUUCUGUAGGCUUCAUCAUCAUGAAAGAAUAUGUACUGGAGCCAGACAGUGGUGGUGCAUUCCUUUAAUCCCAGCACUUGGGAGGAAGAUGCAGGAGGACCUCUGAGUUCUCGGCCAGCCUGGUCUACAAAGUGAGUUCCAGGACAGCCUGUGCUAUAGAGAGAAACCCUGUCUUGAAAAACCAAAACACAACAAAAGAGUAUGUACUGGAGAGAAACCUUUUGAAUGUACUUACUAUGGUUAAGCUUCUUCCUACGGUUAAGAAGGAAUGACUUUGACAGAUAAAGUUCUCAUUCUCUGUCUUUAGAACCUGAGCAUCACCCAGGAGUUCAUGACAAGCCCAUUCUUGGACCCUGUCUACAUGUGUUAAAUCAGAAGUUUUGCUCUCAGUAUAUGACCUCUAGAAAAAUAAUUAAAGGUGGCCCCUGAACUCUAUAUUUCUGACUCUCCAGUUACUACUAAUCUAUCUUUCAAGCAGAGGCCCCAUGUCCUUGAGCUCUCUUUGGGAGCAGAGGUGAUCAGAAAGGUAGUCAAGGGCUCUGAAGCCCCUCAGGCACAUGUGAGGUUUCAGGCAACACCAGCCCCACUGAAGCACACACACAAAAUCGUGUUGAGGAUUAAUCUAAUGUCUGCUCUCUGACUCAGCGUUUGCAACACAGCAGGUAGAACUUGCCAUAUCCACCCAACAAACCCCAUACACAUCUAGGAAACUUCUACAGCUCAGAAACUCCUGUUGCACCUGAAAUUGGAUUUCCCAGAAUCGUGGCCGGUUCAAUGGUGG
rnacentral:lncRNA from 1 species